AUACGGAGGAUGCGAGCGUUAUCCGGAUUUAUUGGGUUUAAAGGGAGCGCAGACGGGUCGUUAAGUCAGCUGUGAAAGUUUGGGGCUCAACCUUAAAAUUGCAGUUGAUACUGGCGUCCUUGAGUGCGGUUGAGGUGUGCGGAAUUCGUGGUGUAGCGGUGAAAUGCUUAGAUAUCACGAAGAACUCCGAUUGCGAAGGCAGCACACUAAGCCGUAACUGACGUUCAUGCUCGAAAGUGUGGGUAUCAAACAGGAUUAGAUACCCUGGUAGUCCACACGGUAAACGAUGGAUACUCGCUGUUGGCGAUAUACAGUCAGCGGCUUAGCGAAAGCGUUAAGUAUCCCACCUGGGGAGUACGCCGGCAACGGUGAAACUCAAAGGAAUUGACGGGGGCCCGCACAAGCGGAGGAACAUGUGGUUUAAUUCGAUGAUACGCGAGGAACCUUACCCGGGCUUAAAUUGCAAAGGAAUAAUCUGGAAACAGGUUAGUCUUCGGACCUUUGUGAAGGUGCUGCAUGGUUGUCGUCAGCUCGUGCCGUGAGGUGUCGGCUUAAGUGCCAUAACGAGCGCAACCCUCGCCGCCAGUUACUAACAGUUAAAGCUGAGGACUCUGGCGGGACUGCCAUCGUAAGAUGUGAGGAAGGUGGGGAUGACGUCAGAUCAGCACGGCCCUUACGUCCGGGGCUACACACGUGUUACAAUGGGCGGUACAGAAGGCAGCUACCUGGCGACAGGAUGCUAAUCCCUAAAGCCUCUCUCAGUUCGGAUUGGAGUCUGCAACCCGACUCCAUGAAGCUGGAUUCGCUAGUAAUCGCGCAUCAGCCACGGCGCGGUGAAUACGUUCCCGGGCCUUGUACACACCGCCCGUCAAGCCAUGAAAGCCGGGGGUACCUGAAGUGCGUAACCGCAAGGAGCGCCCUAGGGUAAAACUGGUGAUUGGGGCU
rnacentral:rRNA from 1 species